AUGUUUUUACCAUGUACUGUUUUAAACUUAGGCCCUAUUAACUCCAUCGCCACAUUUUUACCUCCUGUCUUUGGGCCUGACGACCUUCACUAAACUGCAGAUUAUUCACUCAUGCUGUUCAACAAUCUGGAACAUAACAGUGCUUGUUUCUGUGCCACAAGGCUGCUGUGGUGGCGUUUGCACAACACUAUUACAGUUCAGGGAGUCAAAGUUCAGAGUUCAAUUCCAACAUCAUCUGUACCUCCUCCCCAUGGAAUGCAUGGAUUUUCUCCGGGUGCUCCGGUUUUCUCCCGCUGUCCAAAGACAUACAGACGCUGACCUGGAGUUACAUGCUGACUUUGGUUCUUUGUGGGAAUGGGACCCACUCUCGGGGUUCCAUAACAGGCCGUUGUUCGGCACGCCAAGGGUUUGGCUUGAGAGUCUGGCUCAAAUUCAGAAGGCUAAGAUCUCAGGCUCUGGAGACGGGCGAAUCGAGGGUUGAUGUCAUGGCAGGAGACCCAUGUGUCAUUGGAGGAGUUGGGAUAUCUGCUGUGGGCCUGAAGACCCAGGAUCUUUGUGAUCUUCAGGCGCAUUGCUUGAAAAAAGCGACGUAACGGACUUCUAACAUCGUAAGCCAGUGAGUUGUUUGCUAUGUCUCCCCACUCACUGGGAAAAUGGAAACAUCUUUUUCUCCCUUAUUAGGGAGAGAAAGAAUCUGUGGUAUGUUGAAUGUUGGAUGAAAUGUGAAGUCUUUGGUGUAACUGCAAGUCUGUGUCUUUGCUAUUGCUUUGCCCAUGCUGAGUGCUCAGUGGCGGUG